CUUGAUCAUUGGCUGAGAAGGUCCUGGCAACAACAUUGUAGUAUCUGCACUGGUUGCAAGUUUUUACUAACAGCUGUUGCCUCUGUUCCUUGGAACCUCCUCAAGCCAAGGAUCAGACACAAGCCUGAGCUCUGAGCCCGUGGUCCUAGCUUGCCCUUGAAGUAUGAGGCUGGUGACUGGAGUAACUGUAUUUCUGACCUUGGGGACUGUGAUUGAUGCUAAGACCACCCAGCCCAGCUCCAUGGAUUGUGUUGAAGGAAAAGAUGUAAACCUGCCUUGUAACCACUCUACCAUUGGUGGAAAUGACUAUAUACAUUGGUAUCGGCAAAAUCCCAAUCAGAGUCCACAGUAUGUCAUUCAUGGCUUUCGAGACACAGUGGACAGCAGCACGGCCUCUCUGACCAUAGCUUCAGACAGAAAGUCCAGCACCUUGAUCCUGUCCCAGGUCACCCUGAGAGACACCGCUGUGUACUACUGCGUCCUGAGAGAGGCACACUGGGACAGAUGGGGCUGCACCUGUGCAGUAUCUCUGGUGGGAAGAUGGGGGGGCAGAGUUGGGGGAGCAGUCACGAGAGCAAAUCUAGAGUUGAAGGAGAGUCAGAAAGCAGUAAGAGAUGAGGAAAAUGAAGGGAAGGAAAAGGGGAGAAGAUGCAUAAAGAAAAGAAAAGGACAAGGAAGAAGCGCCGCAUUAAUUGAUGUAGCUGAGAAGAAUUAUGGGGCUACUGCCGCUGCUGCUAAGUCACUUUAGUCGUGUCUGACUCUGUGCGACCCCAGAGACAGCAGCCCACCAGGCUCCCCCGUCCC